GACGAACGCUGGCGGCGUGCUUAACACAUGCAAGUCGAACGGAAAGGCCCUGCUUUUGUGGGGUGCUCGAGUGGCGAACGGGUGAGUAACACGUGAGUAACCUGCCCUUGACUUUGGGAUAACUUCAGGAAACUGGGGCUAAUACCGGAUAGGAGCUCCUGCUGCAUGGUGGGGGUUGGAAAGUUUCGGCGGUUGGGGAUGGACUCGCGGCUUAUCAGCUUGUUGGUGGGGUAGUGGCUUACCAAGGCUUUGACGGGUAGCCGGCCUGAGAGGGUGACCGGCCACAGUGGGACUGAGAUACGGCCCAGACUCCUACGGGAGGCAGCAGUGGGGAAUAUUGCACAAUGGGCGGAAGCCUGAUGCAGCAACGCCGCGGGCGGGAUGACGGCCUUCGGGUUGUAAACCGCUUUCGCCUGUGACGAAGCGUGAGUGACGGUAAGGGGGAAAGAAGCACCGGCGAACUACGGGC
rnacentral:rRNA from 1 species